CGCCUGGGGAGUGCGGCCGCAAGGUUAAAACUCAAAUGAAUUGACGGGGGCCCGCACAAGCGGUGGAGCAUGUGGUUUAAUUCGACGCAACGCGAAGAACCUUACCUGGCCUUGACAUCCAGAGAACUUUCCAGAGAUGGAUUGGUGCCUUCGGGAACUCUGAGACAGGUGCUGCAUGGCCGUCGUCAGCUCGUGUCGUGAGAUGUUGGGUUAAGUCCCGCAACGAGCGCAACCCCUAUCCCUGGUUGCUAGCAGGUAAUGCUGAGAACUCCAGGGAGACUGCCGGUGACAAACCGGAGGAAGGUGGGGAUGACGUCAGGUCAUCAUGGCCCUUACGGCCAGGGCUACACACGUGCUACAAUGGCGCGUACAGAGGGCUGCCAACUCGCGAGAGUGAGCCAAUCCCUUAAAACGCGUCGUAGUCCGGAUCGGAGUCUGCAACUCGACUCCGUGAAGUCGGAAUCGCUAGUAAUCGCGAAUCAGAAUGUCGCGGUGAAUACGUUCCCGGGCCUUGUACACACCGCCCGUCACACCGUGGGAGUGGAUUGCACCAGAAGUAGUUAGUCUAACCUUCGGGAGGACGAUUACCACGGUGUGGUUCAUGACUGGGGUGAAGUCGUAACAAGGUAACCGUA
rnacentral:rRNA from 1 species